AGGCAGAGGGGGAGGAAGGAGGCUGGCUGAAGACCAGGAACAGAGAGAAGAGCCCACUUCUCCAUCAAAAGGUCGGUUCAGUUAACGCAUCCCCAGAGCAGGAGUUAAUCGAGGACUGGAUGCAGUGUAAAAGGAUCAAAAGAAUGUGAAUAAUGGUCUCUGUGUUCAUCAGCUCUGGAACAUUUUGCUGUGUUGAGAAGAAGAUGACCGAUAUAUAAACAUAUAUACGUUCUUUGCAUGUAAAUCCAAAAGAAGAGCACCCCAGAAGCCUCUGGAGGAGGGAGGGGGCUGGAGCAGCAAAACUUGGCAGAGCAAAUGUAUCCAAGGAUUUCGUGCCAGAAUUCCUGAGAAGCUUUGGAAGAAGAGGAAGAAAAAUAAAAAUAUGAAAUUAUCCCUAAACACACACUUGAAACUGGAGACGCCUAAAGGAGAGUAGAAACAGAGAUGAGAUUUUUCUGGGGACCAAGGAUCCGUCAGCCAAAUGAGCAAUCGCCACGGAAAAUCCUAGGCGGAGCGGUAGCUCCAGAUGGGUCCCCUGCUCGCGUCCCCGCCGCUGCCGCUGCUACCUGUAGAC
rnacentral:lncRNA from 1 species